GGGGGGGGGGGGGGCAGGGAGAGCCAAAGACUCGGGAGAGAGCAGGUGUCCCCGUGCGACGGGUCCUCAGUGGUUUGCAACCGGGUUCCACAUCCGCCCUUCUCAGCUGGUUUUAAAGGAGCCUGUGCCAUGAUCUACGGAUCACUGCCGAGGUGUGGUUCUGUCACCGAUUUAAACGUGGGCAGGGCGGAAGCCCCGCCACGUCCCGUCGCAUAAACUGGUGGUGAGUCACUGGGAAGUACUGACCCAGGUUCCUGACCCUGGCACUGCCUCCUCGGUGUCGCCCCCUGGCCCAGAGCGGCUCCCAGAGGGGGGGUGACGGGCCAUUCGAUAGCAGGGACUCACUCUGAACCAACUCGAGUGACCCCGGCCGCUAACUGGGAUCUAGGUCGGUGUCUGAGACGGGCUGGAGGAAACUAGCCUCACUGAGAAGUCCUUCCCCAAAGAGCUGUGUGCUCGUCUCCAGAACAUGUAUCUCUUCUUCGCCUCUCUCGCCGUAGGCUUUUCACCUUCUGCAGAUCUGACGAAGAACGUGACCCCUUAUGAUCGACAUCGCCGGAUUCUAAGCCGUCGUCAAGUGAGCUGUGGGCAUUUUUCAGCUUCUGCUUUUGCUGCCAGGAGGCUCCUCCAACUUUACACUCGGCAGUUACCCCCCGGCCGAGCAGAGGGCCUUGCAACCUAGCUUCCAGAAGGCACGCGCGUGUCCGGCCAGCGCGCAGAGGGACAGCGCUCUGCUGUCAGACUAAGUCUGACACAGACUUAGUCACUGCUGAUUCUGCUUAAAAAAGCCGGCUUUUAAUAAGCUUCUCUGGUACGUUGUGUGCUGUCCUCAGCUGCUGGGAUCCCAGGCACAGGACAUUAGGAUCCUCAGAUCUCUCUGUAGUAAGUUCUAUUUGUUACCGUAAAUCCAAAGAGUUAGGUAGGUCCUGCACCUUCAGUUUGUUGAGGAAUUUGCUUUCACGGAAAGGAAACUAGGGGCGCCUGGGUGGCUCAGUCGGUCGGGCGUCCGACUUCAGCCCAGGUCACCAUGUCAAGGUUCGUGGGUUCGAGCCCUGCGUCGGGCUCUGUGCCGACAGCUCGGAGCCUGGAGCCUGCUUCCGAUUCUGUGUCUCCCCCUCUCUGCCCCUCCCCUACUCACGCUCUGUCUCUCUCAAAAAGGAACAAAUAUAAAAAACAUUUUUUCUUGUCAGUGCAACUCCAUGCCUCACUAAUAACAGGUCUGUUGGUAUCUGUACCUUAAAUACCUUCACUGCUGCCUCUGUUUAUGGCUGUCAGAGAGGGUCAGACUUGGUCGGCCCGCUUUCCUUCCUUGUGCUCAUUCUCAUCAGAGUUCAGAUUACAGCCCAGGGUCUGUCUCCCAAGACGGCACCCUCACACGAGGAAGGGCGGGCGCCUCCGGGCGCUCGGCAGCCUGGGGUCGGGGGUGGGGAGGGCGUUCACCCUUCCGGUGACCUCUUUUGGUGCGAGGCUCUCUGCACACAGACCUGCUCUCUGCACACGCGCCACCGGGCCUGGGAAGCAUGUGGUUUUAACGAAUGAAGAGUUGGUUCCUUGGUGCAACAGGAAUAAGAAUUGGGGACCCGUGGUUUCCCCUUGAGUGAAGACCAAUGAGGGCCCCAGAAGGUGCUCGAAGGAGGAGGCAAAAGCAUGUCGUUUGUGGUGCGACCAUGGCUACUGUUAGCUUUUUCCCCACCGCAUUUCCUUUACUUAAAAAAAUGGCCGGAGGUGUACACGGUAAGGAAGCUUGAAACACGCAGGCUUACAUCUCCGUCCAGCUCUUUUCCUCCCCGGGAGGCAGAGCCACUCAUGAGAAAACCACGAGGGGACUCCUUGCACACCCGGCGUAACUGUGUUUUCCAUGACGGUGUGUCCCCCGCACUUAAUUUUUUUUGGUGGAGAUCACUUGAGUCUCCCCAUCUGUGAUUUUUGUCGGGAAGAAGAAACUGUUAGAAGUUGAAUGGUUGGAUCCAAAAAAUGCCUCUUUAGAGGCUGACACAUGAGCCAACCUCUUUUGAGGUUUUAUAGCCCUGCCGUACGGGAGCACCUGUUUGCUGCGUUGGUGUGGACACUGUGUUAAAACUUCGUUUUCGUGGACCUGAUCACGUCUCAGCUUUAUUUUUUCAAAAGCCGUCUGUGUCCUGCCCUCCUGGUGUCCUAGGGUGUCGGUUUUCUUCUGAAUGAUGUGCAAGAGUGCUUUUUGGAACGAAGCAAAGUAGCUGGUGACUUGCAUGCCAAGUAUUUUUCUCCAGUUUGUCGGACUUGAUUUUUCUAUAUGUGAAUUUCGCAUUUUGUCCCAUUUGGCCAGCGUUUCCUCUGACGGCUUCUGAGAUUAGUGGUAUGCUUGGAAAGUUUUUUGCCCACUCUGUGAUUUAAAAAAAAAAAAAUCCUGUUUUCUGCUGCUGUCCCUCUGCUUUGCAUUUUUCCUUCUAAAUUUUUGAUCCAUUCAAAACGUAUUUAAAGUUUUUUUUUUUUUUUUAAUGUGUUAUUUAUUUUUGAGACAGAGGGAGAGCGUGAGCAGGGGAGGGGCAGAGAGAGAGGGAGACACAGACUCCGACACGGGCUCCAGGCUCCCAGCCAUCAGCCCAGAGCCCGACGCGGGGCUCGAACCCACAGACCACGAGAUCGUGACCUGAGCCAGAGCCGGAUGCUUAACCGACUGAGCCACCCAGGCGCCCCCAUUCAAAACGUAUUUUCAACUGUACCUCUAUCUUGUCCCAAAAUAAAUUCCAGUAUCUUUUAUAUUAAGUGGUACAUUUCUCUCCCACUGACUUAGAAGUUCUACUGUCUCUCUCAUCACCUGAGUGUCUCUUUGAACUUGAGUCUCUACCUCAUGCUUUAAGUCGUGGUGUUUUGUGAUAAAAAAUGCCAGAGCUGUUCCCCGAUGACUUCCGGGUUUCUUUUGGAAUGUUCCUCCCUAUGCCUGCCUGUUGAUUUUCUCCGACGGCUGGUAACCCUUCUAAAAAGUUUGAUGGUUGCAUGUUGGAGACCGCAUCGAACGUAGAUUGGCACAGGCAGGGCAGACAUCUGGCGGAUGUGGCUUCCUCCUGUCCCCGAGGAUGGGAACAUCGAAGUUUGCGAUGUAGAUUUUGUCGUUGGGAUCGGCACUGUAUAUGGAUUUUUUUUUUUCCUCCUGAGGAUUGUUUAAACAUAGGAAAGCCCUUGAUCUUUCUACCUAGUUUUGUACCCCAGCUACCUUGCUGAAUUCUUUGGUCUGGGGGUUUUGAACCUUGGGCCUCAGAAUUCUCUAGAAAGCCUCCUGAGGUGCAGAUGGCAGGGCUGGGGAGGGACCUGAGAGUGGGCCUUUGUAAGGAGUCCCCAGGGUUAGUGUUUUGGCCCCUGUGAUUUCUUCUUUUUCCGUCCAGCCUUAUUGAGAUCUGACGGAUACAGGAGUCUGUGCAAGUUUGCGAGGUAGGUACAUACAGUGUGUUGAAUGCAAUUGUUAACGAUUGUGUACCUGGAAAUGAGGAUAAUUUCCCUACUCUGCACUUUCUAGGCCUUUUAUUCUUUUAAUUGUAUCAGCAAAUUCUUUAAGAACUUCAAUAGCAGUGAUAGGCCCUCACCAUUCCUGACUUUGAUGGAAAUGCACCUGGUCUUUUACCGUGAAGCAGGGUGCUUUUCAGAUACAUUUCCACGUAAAGGAAGGAUCCAUCUGUAUUUACAUUAAAAGUUUCCGUCUAGAUGGGGAAUGUUAUAAAAAGGUUUUCCCUCUUAAAUAAGGAACCCAAAUCAGUAGGGCUCCAGCUGCUGAGCAGUGUUUGUAUUUAUUUUUUCUUUAAUUUUUUUAAUGUUUUUAUUUAUUUUUGAGACAGAGAGAGACAGAGCAUGAGCAGGGGAGGGGCAGAGAGAGAGGGAGACACAGAAUCGAAAGCAGGCUCCAGGCUCUGGGCCAUCAGCCCAGAGCCCGACGCGGGGCUCGAACUCAGGGACCGUGAGAUCGUGACCUGAGCUGAAGUCGGACACUCAACCGACUAAGCCACCCAGGUGCCCCAAGCUGGUUUGUAUUUAAACUGCCAAGCCUCGAAUGUGUGAAUUCAGUUGGACUGGGUUCAGUACUUGUGUGUUCAAAUAGGUUAGUCUGGGGCGUCUGGGGGGCUCAGUCGGUUAAGAAUAAAAUCCAUUCUGACAAUUUUUUAUAUCCUGGUAAGUUUUUCAUCUUAUGCAAGUUUUCAAGUUAACUUACAUACGUUUGACCAGUUACGUGAAAUCUUUUGAGCUGUGGCUUUUUACUUCCAUUUUUCCUACAUUAUGUUGUAGCAAUUCUGUUUUUCUUUUAAAUUAAUUUUGCUUUUAUAGUAUCUCCUGCUGUUUGUUUCUUUUUCCAAUUUGAGUUGAUUGUUAAGUUCCUACAUGAAGAAUGGAAGUAAAUGCGUAUAUAGAGGUAUCACUUUUCUCUUUGAGCUCCGCCUUCUUUGGUAAUACUGUAUAGACUCUGAUAGAUGUGUUCUGUGUUCGUGGUUGGCUUCUAGAUUUUGUUAAAUCUUUAUUUCUCUUAGAGAGAGACACACACAGGGGAGGGGCAGACAGAGGGAGACGCAGCAUCCGAAGCAGGCUCCAGGCUCCGAGCCGUCAGCACAGGGCCCGACGCGGGGCUCGAACUCACGAACCGUGAGAUUGUGACCUGAGCCGAAGUCGGAGGCUCAACCGACUGAGCACCCCCCCAGGCGCCCCCAUACUCAGAGCUUUCCACUUGGAGCCAAGAGUUUAAAAUUUUUUGUGGGCUGGAGAAUUCUCCUACAAAUGGGGCUGUUCACUUUCAGUUUUAAUAAAUAGUAAUUAGGGGAGUCACCUAUGUCCUGUCUACUUGGGAUUGUGGUUUUAGUUGUGCCCUUUGCUGUGACCAGGUAGAGUCCCUGAAUGAAUUCCCUGUGUGUCUUCCUACAUUUGCCGUAGGGCGCCCUGUGAGUGUGGAUGUCGAGUUGCCGUGUGCCCGUUGGAUUUUCAGUGGUGAAUAUAUCUCGUUGAAUUCCCUGCCCUGCCUUCCCUCAUGCUUUUGGCCUCGAUCUUAAUCUUGCCUGCCGUUAAUGAUGUCACGCCGCUGUGUGUGUUGCUUGGAGUUUGCCUGGUAUAUUUUAGCUUGAUUUUUCGGAGUCUUUUUUUUCUUAUAAACUUUAUUUUGACGUAACUUGAAUCGACCUAGAGGCUGCAAAACUGGUGCUGAGAGUUCCUGGGCGCUCCUCUCCCAGCUUCGCCUAAUGAAAACAUCUUCCCUAAUCAGAGCACAGCCACCCAAGCAGGACGCUGGCAUCGGCACGACAUUAGCAACGAUGCAUAGACCUUAUUCGAAUGCCGCCAGUUUUUCCAAAGCCCCUGCUUUCAGGCACACUCAAGGCUAGGGGCACAGUCUUCCAGAUGGCAAAGUCUGCCCAAGCCUCCCGACACCCACUACGCGGUCCGAGGGCCCCCCAAGCCGCCCUCAGGUUGGACAGUUCGCUGAAGAGACAGAACUCACCGAAACCUGUUGGACUGUUGGUCAGGCUUGUUACGGGGGAGGAUACACAUCAGCGCCAGCCACGGGGUGGACCGGCAGUGUUCCAAGAACAGAGUUUCUGGUCGACCUCACUGAGCCCGAUGGUGGUCUUGGGGACCCCUGCCAUCAGUCCUGGGAAACUUGAUCACGUGUAGAGAUUGACGUGACCCUCGCUACAGUCAGGAUCCAGAACUGUCCCAUUUGCCUCCCAAACUCCUUCCUGCUCCCCCUCUUCCAGUCCCGCCCUCCUAACGCUGACGCCUGACAGCCUGUCAUCCACUCUGUCACCUUAAUUGUCACUUCGAGGAUGUUAGGUAAAUGGAACCGUACCAUACGUCACCAGUAAGACGGGUUUCUGCCACUCGGCGUGAUACCCAGGGGACCCACCCAGGAUGCGACGUGGACGCUCCUGAGCCCUCCACUGUGGGGGGGCCGCUCGUCGGCCGAAGGAGGCGUGGGUGGUUGUAAGAUGCGGCUCUUACGAGUGACGCUGCCGUGGGCACGAGGGUCUGUGCCUAGAGUGGCGAGGCUGGGUCACAGGCUAAGCGUGUGUUUGACCAGAUGGGACGCCAUCAGCCUGUUCUCCAGAGCGGCUGUGGUACCUCCCCGCCCUGCGACACGUCCGGGCACCGGUUGUCCCACAUCCUUGCGCCCUCAGCGUCCUGGGCAUGUUUUUAGCCGUUCGGAGAGGUGUGUUUACUGCCUCUAUGCCCUCUUAAGAGCUUGUGCCCUUUUUCUGUUUUUUUUUGUUAAAUUUAAAUUUUUUUUUUUUUUAAUUUUGGAUCAGAGUCGAUUGUUGGGUUUGUGAUUUGAAAAUACGUAUUUUCCAGUCUUUUUUUUUUUUUUUUUUUAAAUUCUCUCCACUAGUGACUUUCAUGGGAAAAAUGCUUUCACUUUUGGUGGAAUCCAGUUAGUUUUUUUUCCUGGAUUAAAACAACUUUUUUUUUUUUUAAAUUCAAGCCUCAUUUACCAUGUUAGGUUAGUUGCAGGUAUACAGCACAAUGAUUCAACAAUUCUCUAUAUUUCUUGGAGUUCUUUAAGGUCUGUACCUAAAUUUUUUUUUUUAAUUCCAGUAUAGUUGGAUUGCAGAGUGAUGUUAGUUGCAGGUGUACAAGACAGUGACUCAGCCCUUCUGUACGUCACCCCGUGUGUCUCAUGCAAGGUGUUGCCGUGCAGUCUCCAGAGCUCAGCCGGAAAGGUUGGGGUGGACGCGGGCCCGGGCCCAGGCUUCCUGCCGGUUUCCCAAGAAGCAGAUCAGGUGAGGGACCUACCGCACGGCGUCCUAAAAGCGUGCCUCGGGAGGGGGCCUGGGGGAGGGCCACAGUCACAUAAAAAUAUAGAUUAUUGAGGGGUUGGACGCAGGCGGGGGCCGCUAUGCAUCUUCCUGGUGAACCUGGGCUUUCUCGGCUCUGGAACAGAACUUUUCGCAUAGUUUGAGCAGCUCUGACAAAAUGAACACCGAUGAAGCCAGUGCGGUUAAAAGCAACAAGUCUGCAAAAAGGUGAAAAGAAGAUGGGGGUCAGAGUGCACGGUGCCACCCUGAGGCUCCCUUCCCCACGUCUCGGCUUUGGUCGCAGAGAGCCCAGAGACACCCCCCACCCCGGCCUCGUGCUCCGAGCAGUCAUGUCCAGCACCUCAGACUCGACCGUGUCAUGACCUGUGGCCAUGACCUACGCCAGCCUCCCCACCUGCUGGCUCCCACCACAUAAGUGGCUCCGGUCACUGCUGUUGCUCGGGUACCCUCCUCCCCCACCCC